rnacentral:rRNA from 1 species
UACGAAGGGUGCAAGCGUUACUCGGAAUUACUGGGCGUAAAGCGUGCGUAGGCGGUUCGUUAAGGCUGUCGUGAAAGCCCUGGGCUCAACCUGGGAAUUGCGAUGGAUACUGGCGAGCUAGAGUACGGUAGAGGAUGGUGGAAUUCCCGGUGUAGCGGUGAAAUGCGUAGAGAUCGGGAGGAACACCCGUGGCGAAGGCGGCCAUCUGGACCAGUACUGACGCUGAGGCACGAAAGCGUGGGGAGCAAACAGG